rnacentral:rRNA from 1 species
UACGUAGGGGGCAAGCGUUGUCCGGAUUUAUUGGGCGUAAAGAGCGUGUAGGCGGCCAAGCAGGUCAGCUGUGAAAACUCGAGGCUCAACCUCGAGACGUCGGUUGAAACCGCUUGGCUAGAGUCCGGAAGAGGAGGGUGGAAUUCCUGGUGUAGCGGUGAAAUGCGUAGAUAUCAGGAGGAACACCGGUGGCGAAGGCGGCCCUCUGGACGGUGACUGACGCUGAGACGCGAAAGCGUGGGGAGCAAACAGG